GGAUUACAUCUCACAUUACUUCUGCUGCGGUGUGUAUAUGGGGGAAAUCCCGGAAUGGUAUUUAGUAAAGGGAUCAGGCUCUUCGUUGAAGGCAAGCUGGAAUUAAAUCCCUUUUAUGGUUUCGACAGGUCUGGUCCCUCUGUACUCAUCCUUUUCAGCUUCAGGAGUGACCGUGACGGCUCGCACACACCAACUCUGGUGUG